CUGGUUGGUGGAGAAUUUGAACUGGAGAUGAACUCUAUUAUCCAGGAUGCUGAGAGUAUAAUACGCAUGACAGAGCUUUUAGAGCACUGUGAUGUAACAUGUCAAGCAGAAAUAGGGAGCAUGUUUACAGCCAUUCUAUGAAAAAGUGUUUGGAAUGUACAGACUAGCACAGAAGUUGGGCUAAUUAAACAAGUAUUGCUGAAAAUGAGUGCUUUGUCUUUACAGUUUUCAUGCUAGCAAAGGAGUUGGUUACUCUGCUCAUUUUGUUGGCAACUGUUUUAUAGUCACAUCAUCGAAGUCCAAAGGAAAAUGUUUUCAGCAUUGUGUGAAAUAUGAUUUUCAACCACGUAAGUACCUUCAAGUUUAAAUCUAAGAGUGAUAUUCAUUUGGCAGAACAUCAUAAACAGGUUUUAUAUGAUGGGAAACUUGCAAGUAGCAUUGCCUUUACAUAUAAUUGCUAAGGAUGUGAAAGGGAUAGUAACACAUUCAAUUCAUAGUGCAAUUCAUUCAAUUGGACAGAUUCAAGUGCUUUUUCCACUGUUUCCCCAGUUGGAUAAUUGGCAGCUCAAUGACAGUCAAGUGGAAACAACUG
rnacentral:lncRNA from 1 species